AUGGCGCUGGCUUGAGAGUAGGAUUGUUCGAAAGUGCAAUCCGAAGUAGGAGGUAUGCAUCUCUUAAGGCUAAAUAUCACUGCGAGACCGAUAGCAAACAAGUAGCGUAAGCGAAAGUUGAAAAGAACUUUGAAGAGAGAGUUCAAAGAGCGUGAAACCAUUAGUAGGGAAGCGGGUGUUACCUCGAAGUGGCGUUGCAAGUGUGUGGUGUUUGCGUGUCUUGAUGCAUUUGUGUUCGAGUUUAGCUUUUUCCUUUGGUGAAAGAAACCUUUGUGCACAUUAUGUAGUCGGCGCGAAUGCUGUAAAGCACACUUGUUGCCAGUAUCGUGCACUCUUUUAACACUUGAUAGUGCUUAUAGGUGCUUUUUCUUUCUCAUUCGGGGGAGGCUGAGUAAGCUUAUAAGUUUGAGCUAUUUUGUGAACUGUUCAAUAGUAUAGUUAGCCUCGCGUUGACUGUCUGUUAAAUAGAUUCAAGCUUCUAUCGUAGUAGAAAAAG
rnacentral:rRNA from 1 species